rnacentral:rRNA from 1 species
GACGAACGCUGGCGGUGUGCUUAACACAUGCAAGUCGAACGGAAAGGCCCUGCUUUUGUGGGGUGCUCGAGUGGCGAACGGGUGAGUAACACGUGAGUAACCUGCCCUUGCCUUUGGGAUAACUUCAGGAAACUGGGGCUAAUACCGGAUAGGAGCUCCUGCUGCAUGGUGGGGGUUGGAAAGUUUCGGCGGUUGGGGAUGGACUCGCGGCUUAUCAGCUUGUUGGUGGGGUAGUGGCUUACCAAGGCUUUGACGGGUAGCCGGCCUGAGAGGGUGACCGGCCACAUUGGGACUGAGAUACGGCCCAGACUCCUACGGGAGGCAGCAGUGGGGAAUAUUGCACAAUGGGCGGAAGCCUGAUGCAGCAACGCCGCGUGCGGGAUGACGGCCUUCGGGUUGUAAACCGCUUUCGCCUGUGACGAAGCGUGAGUGACGGUAAUGGGUAAAGAAGCACCGGCUAACUACGUG